rnacentral:rRNA from 1 species
GACGAACGCUGGCGGCGUGCUUAACACAUGCAAGUCGAACGGACUGGCGAACGGGUGAGUAAUACGUAGGUAACCUGCCCUCCUUUUUGGGAUAAGCCUUGGAAACGGGGUCUAAUACCGAAUAAAGGGGGAUGGGGUCGCGGCCUAUGGGCUUGUUGGUGGGGUGAUGGACUACCAAGGCGGUGACGGGUAGCCGGCAUGAGAGGGUGAACUGCAACAUAGGGACGGCGCUAAGGCCCAGAUGAGGACGGGAGGGAGCAGUGGGGGAUAUGGCACAAUGGGUGAAAGCCUGAUGCAGCGACUGCGAGUGGGGGAUGCAGGCUUUAGGGUUGUAAACCUCGGUAGCUAGCGAAGGGGUACGUGGAGAAGAAGCGCCGGCUAACUACGUGCCAGCAGCCGCGGUAAUUC